rnacentral:rRNA from 1 species
CCUACGGGUGGCUGCAGUCGAGAAUCUUCCGCAAUGGACGAAAGUCUGACGGAGCGACGCCGCGUGAACGAUGAAGUACUUCGGUAUGUAAAGUUCUUUUGCCAGGGAGAAAGUUUAUUGAUAGUACUUGGCGAAUAAGAGGUUGCUAAACUCGUGCCAGCAGCAGCGGUAAUACGAGUGCCUCAAGCGUUAUCCGGAAUCAUUGGGCGUAAAGGUUGUGUAGGUGGUUUUAUUAGUCUCUUGUUAAAUUCUUCGGCUUAACCGGGGGCAUGCAA